rnacentral:rRNA from 1 species
UACGGAGGGGGCUAGCGUUGUUCGGAAUUACUGGGCGUAAAGCGCACGUAGGCGGCUUUGCAAGUUAGAGGUGAAAGCCCGGGGGCUCAACUCCGGAAUUGCCUUUAAAACUGCAUCGCUAGAAUUGUGGAGAGGUAAGUGGAAUUCCGAGUGUAGAGGUGAAAUUCGUAGAUAUUCGGAAGAACACCAGUGGCGAAGGCGACUUACUGGACACAUAUUGACGCUGAGGUGCGAAAGCGUGGGGAGCAAACAGG